rnacentral:rRNA from 1 species
AGAAUCAACGCUGGCGGCGUGCCUCAGACAUGCAAGUCGAACGAUUAAAGCUCUCUUCGGAGAGUGUAUAGAGUGGCGCACGGGUGAGUAACACGUAAGUAAUCUACCUUUGAGUGGGGAAUAACGUCCGGAAACGGACGCUAAUACCGCAUAAUGCAGCGGCAUCGCAAGAUGACAGUUGUUAAAGAUUUAUCGCUUGAAGAGGAGCUUGCGGCAGAUUAGCUAGUUGGUAAGGUAAUGGCUUACCAAGGCUACGAUCUGUAACCGGUCUAAGAGGACGGUCGGUCACACUGACACUGAAUAACGGGUCAGACUCCUACGGGAGGCAGCAGUCGGGAAUUUUGGGCAAUGGGCGAAAGGCCUGACCCAGCAACGCCGCGUGAAGGAUGAAGUAUUUCGGUAUGUAAACUUCGUAAAGAAUAGGGAAAGAAUAAAUGACGGUAACCAAUUUAAUAAGGUACCGGCUAACUACGUGACCAGCAGCCGC